GGCUGGAUAGCUCAGUUGGUAGAGCACUGGUUUAGUAAUCCGGCGACGAAGGUUCAAACCCUGCUCCAGCAA